AUAAAAUAAGCAUAAAUGUUAUGCAAAUACCAUAUGGACAGAGAAAUAUGUAAAAGUGAAUUCAUGCUUUAUAAAUAAGAAAUUGCAUUUAUUCCACUGCUGUUUUAUGAUGAGUUUCAUCUACUUAAGGCGGCAGUGAAUUUGCAAAGAUUUCCGAUGCUAACAUUGCCGCAUGGAGGGGGGUCAGAAGGCAUGUAAAGGUGAGUUAUACUUAUUUGGAACUGGCAC